CAGCAGAUGGCUCUCUUACACUCGCUUCUUAUUCUUUACACAACAAGAGCAUCUUUUGUAACGUAAACAAGUUAGAAGACCCCACCUCUCUGUAGUGGCGGAAAAAUAAGUUGUUAAAAAGUCGUGGGUAUAAUUCAAGGGCGGUAUUACUCUCCACGAAGAAAUAUUAUGUUUUUAAUUCGUUUCUAUUAGCACAUAGGCCCACUGAACAGCGACUCUAACGUUAGCUAACUUUGCUAACUUCACACCGUGGCAAGCGCAAUAUCAACGAUAUAACCAUUUUUAGCUUACAAAAACGAAAGGAACAUAAUAGUUUUGAAUUCUUAGAUCAAAAAAAUGUCUCUUCUGAGGGAUCACAAGACUUUGCGUAUUUUGCUCAUUGCUCUUUCUCAAUUUGCUUACGUUGCUGCUUUGAUUAUCAAUGCACUCGCGGGACCAGGAAAAGGUCCAUUUCAGCGCAGCACUGGAAAUAUAUCAGACAGAUAUCAGACAGAGAUCACUCCUGCUGGAUGGACCUUCUCUAUAUGGGGGGUCGUCUAUUCCUGGCUCUUCCUGAUGAACGCAUAUAUCCUUACCUGGCUUUGUAGAGGGUUGUACUCAAGUCCAGCAAUCCUGCCCUCGGAAUUCUUUCUCUCAUGGAUCAUCAACAUGAUUCUGAACAGUACCUGGCUGGUCUUGUGGGAUAGAGAGUAAGUUGUGGGCAGCCAACAUAUUUUGUGGCAUAAUCAUAGUUUUGCAUGGUGCCUCAGAAGGUCACGUGUUUGUCUUUUAUUGAUUCAGAUUGAUGAUUCCUGCCCUGAUUGUUCUUGCCCUGAUUGCUUUCACCAACUACCUGAUGAUCUUCUUCUCUUGUCUUGGUCUGCGAGCUCAUGGAUCUUGGCUUAAACAGCAACAUCCAAAAGACCUCUUCUGCAUCAUAGUGUUGGUUCAAAAUGGCAUUGCCACUUAUGCAACAUGGACAACUAUUGCCACACUGCUCAACUUCACUAUUGUGUUGGAUCUGGCGUCAGUUUCCCCAACACAUGCUGCUACUGCUUCUUUAUGCAUACUUCUGUUGGAAGUAAUUAUAUGGUUUACAGUUGAAAACUUUCUAAUAGAGAAGCACGUCCGUUACAUCCUCUCGGUUUACCCUGUGAUUAUCUAUGCUCUAAUUGGAAGCCUAAGCAAGCAUUACAUUGCCGCGGGACCUGGCCGGAAUGCCAUCUUUUCAAUGAUGCUUCUGGUGUUGGCCUGUAUUUUGUUAGUGGUGCGCGUGGGGCUGGUGGUUUGGAGACACGGGACUCUGCCUCUCUUCCGUGAAGUAAGUCCUGAGGUCCUGAUGUCACCAAACAGCGGCACUGAUAAAUAACCAUACAUCAUAAAUACUAAACACUCAUGAAAACUUCAAAGAUGACGUGCCCUAAACGGUAACCCUUCCAGGUGUGCAGUACCUGCAUGAAUGUAUUUCGGCUGGAACAGAUGUCUUUUUCAAAGUAUUAUGGAAAAUAUGCAUGAAACAGCAUACGGUAACAACAUUAUAUCUAUUCUGAGCUUGAGCCAGGCCAUGUUCAGGGUAUUAAAUGUGCCAGUUUUGUUCUAUGUUACUCUUACCAUUCUAAAGUUGAAAUAAAAGUCUGCAUUUAUUUGAUCAAAAAUACAAUAAAAACAGCAGUAUUAUGAAACACUAUUAUGCACAACAGCUUUUUAUUUCAUUUUAAUGUUUUAUAAUGUAAUUGUGUGUAUGCAGAUAUAUUCAGUAACUUGUGACCAAAAUAUCAGUAUUAUACCUGAACCUGACAGUACAUUCAUUUGCUUGUUACCUUUUUGCAUGUCUUUAUGAAUUAACGUUAACAUUUAAUAUUUUAGCAAUUCAAAGCAAAAUAAGCACAAAUAAGGAAGCAAUUUAUUACAGUAUCAAAAGCAGUAUAUCAUACAAAAGCCGACAAUAAUCAUGAUACCAU
ensembl:lncRNA uncharacterized LOC107586663